AACGAACGCUGGCGGCAUGCCUAACACAUGCAAGUCGAACGAACCCUUCGGGGUUAGUGGCGCACGGGUGCGUAACGCGUGGGAAUCUGCCCUUGGCUUCGGAAUAACAGUUAGAAAUGACUGCUAAUACCGGAUGAUGUCCUCGGACCAAAGAUUUAUCGGCCAGGGAUGAGCCCGCGUAGGAUUAGGUAGUUGGUGAGGUAAAGGCUCACCAAGCCGACGAUCCUUAGCUGGUCUGAGAGGAUGAUCAGCCACACUGGGGCUGAGACACGGCCCAGACUCCUACGGGAGGCAGCAGUGGGGAAUAUUGGACAAUGGGCGCAAGCCUGAUCCAGCAAUGCCGCGUGAGUGAUGAAGGCCUUCGGGUCGUAAAGCUCUUUUACCAGGGAUGAUAAUGACAGUACCUGGAGAAUAAGCUCCGGCUAACUCCGUGCCAGCCGCCGCCGUAAAAC
rnacentral:rRNA from 1 species